GAUGAACGCUGGCGGCGUGCCUAAUACAUGCAAGUCGAACGAAACUUCUUUAUCACCGAGUGCUUGCACUCACCGAUAAAGAGUUGAGUGGCGAACGGGUGAGUAACACGUGGGCAACCUGCCCAAAAGAGGGGGAUAACACUUGGAAACAGGUGCUAAUACCGCAUAACCAUAGUUACCGCAUGGUAACUAUGUAAAAGGUGGCUAUACUACCGCUUUUGGAUGGGCCGCGGCGCAUUAGCUAGUUGGUAGGGUAAAGGCUUACCAAGGCAAUGAUGCGUAGCCGAAUUGAGAGGUUGAUCGGCCACAUUGGGACUGAGACACGGCCCAAACUCCUACGGGAGGCAGCAGUAGGGAAUCUUCCACAAUGGGCGAAAGCCUGAUGGAGCAACGCCGCGUGGGUGAAGAAGGUCUUCGGAUCGUAAAACCCUGUUGUUAGAGAAGAAAGUGCGUGAGAGUAACUGUCCACGUUUCGACGGUAUCUAACCAGAAAGCCACGGCUAACUACGUG
rnacentral:rRNA from 1 species